UAGAGAGAGAUGAAGCAGCCGCCACCGAGCUCGUUCAUGGCGGAGGCGUCGCAGGUGCAGGGGCAGGGAGGGAUGGGGGAGAUGGAGGAGGAGGAGCAGGUGGGGAUGGAGGUGGACGACGCCGACCCCGUCGACAUCCUCUCCGACUUCGACAAGCACCACCUCCCCCUCGACGCCGACUUCUUCAACUCCUUCCCCGACGAUUUCCACGACGACGACCUCGAUUGAAUUCGAGGGGAGUCAAGUGUGUUCCUUGCCUUGUUAGAGUCGGCAGUAAGCAGCGAGGUGCUCAUUGUAAGAGGUAAAUGGGUUUACAUCUUUUAGAGGUGGGCUCUGUAUUUCCUCCAAAAUAAUGUUUUUAGAUGAACUAUCUAUGUCCAUGUCUGUUGUUAUGACAUACAGAUAUUUCUGGACCUUUGUUAUCAACUCGUAGAGCAGCAAAUAACGGUUCAUUUAGGCUUGGCACUUGUCAUUUUGUAUAAUGCUUGUUCUUUGCACUUGUCUUUCUCAUGGUUUUUACCAUUUCGCAAGGGUGUGGGUGUUGAAUGCAAGGUUGUCACGUUACAUAUUACUUGGUUAUGAUAGAUUGGAUUGAAAUGAGAGGAUGGCUGCAUGCCAUCCAAUCUCUUCUUAUACGAAUCUCUACGAGAUGCCAUCUUGUACAAUGUUUCGCCUGCCUAAUGAAUUGCAAGGACAUGAGGCUCACCCAUAUCGAAAAGGCGAGAUUGUAGGCAUUUUGAUCAAACAUCUUCUGAUUGGUGUCAAAACAACUCCCAAUUUGACCGUACAUAGAGAACUCUUACAAAUUACAGAUGCCUAUGACAUUCCAACAGAAUGCUUUGGCUGGAGAAAUCAGUUAGUAAUAUUUAGCUGCAUCGAAAAGUUAGCUUUAACGCCAGUCUACAGAAAAGGUACAAAAAAGAAAAGCAAGUGGAAAUUACAAGCUACAUGAAACAACCAGAUCACAGUUGUCGCACAGCUGAAAGAUUACAAGCAGUAGUAGGUUGAGCCCUCUUACACAACUCGCCGCAUUUUCUUUUUCAGAGACAUUUCCUUGUAAGAGCUGACCUUCUCGGCGGCCCUGCGCAAGGGCCUUCCAGAUAAAGAUCUCCGGGCCCCUUCAAGAGGGAGUUGCAGAGUCCAGCUGAGUAUGAUUAUCUUUUCGCAGAGGCUCCACGAAAAGAGAGCAAGACGAAACCUCGGUGUCCUCUAUCUUGAACGAGUCCUCCAUCGACUCGUGUGAUUCGGAUUUCAAUUUACUCGAUCUGCUUCUUAAAGACUUUCUGUUCAUGUAAAAAAUUUAUCAAGCUUGGAUGUAUUUCCUUUCCAAAUACAGAAGAGUGAAGAUGGUGUUUUACAUAUAUAACGCUGAAAAUUAUCUAUCAAAA